CUGUUACACUCUCCCCAUCUCCUCUUGUCUGUUCUCGCCCCUCUAUUGUACAUGUUUUACCGCUGGAGGUUAAUGUGGAUUUGCUGAUGGAAGUGGUAGUUUGUGUUGAGUGGUUUAUCUAUGGGAUCGACUGACUAACUAACUAAAGAUCUCGUGGUCAAUGCGGCAGACCGCUGGACCUGGACGUCACCUUCUGCAGAUACUUCACUGCCCUCAGGAAUCCACGGAUAACUUGAAACAUGUCCGACUACACAUUUCCGAAAAAUCCAGAAUGGAAACUUGUGGAAGGAAGAAAGGGGUCUGUUUUUGCUCAACCCAUAACCCCACUGAGCCCUUCUGUGGAAACCUGUCUGACUGACCCUACUGACUGGGGGCCUGUUAAUGUUUGUUUGGUUGGUCUGGUAGAAGGUUUGCUGCUUGUGAUCUGCAAGGUGGUCCUGGGUUAGAUGCGGUGUCUGACUUGCACACCACUCUCCCAAUUCUAUUCUGCUCUUUACUACUUUUCUACUUUCAAUACACUUGCUGCUGCUGCUGUUGACCGCUGGUGGUGCAAUGUGGUUUCUAUUCGCGUAUGUUCUGUGGACUUUGCAUUUGUAUUUUAAUGAACAUGUUUACUGUCUGUUAGACCUCGGAUUGGCAAACCUAAACUCCUUCACUGGCAAAAUGUAGAUGCAAAUUAAAUGCCAAAAUUAACAUUUCAAUAUUCGUUUUGCGUAUUUCACCAAUCGGAACUAGACGGACCUCGUAUAUAAUUUGCUCUUCAAAUAUGCGGUCAGGCGCCCCUCCGUUAUAUAACGUUUUCUGCCCGGUACGAAAUAGACCGACCAAUAGCAACCCUUAAAGGCUAUCUAAUGUGAGGUUGGAUAUACGCAACAUGUAGAGGUGUUUCAACAACAAAGAUGGAAGUUAGUGAACUAAAGACUGUAUAUGCUCACUAAAAGAACGAACGACUACUACUCAAAGAUUUUGAGGAAUAUGUAUUUCUGCAUCACACGUUCCAAUGCUAUGAUUAGUCGAGGCCUAUCCAAUAGCAUAGCAUCGACCCAUUUUAGAUCGCGCCCUUUAGACACGCCCCUUGGAAAUUGAACAACUCACUUCAACGCAGAGGAUCCAGAAGGAUUUCAUAACGAGUCCAUUGGAAGAUAUCGAGGAACAUGAACAUCACCAAUGAAGGAGAGUAAAGUUUCCACUUGCUAUAGGAAUUUAGUGAAGCACUAAAUAGUUAAUAAUAAUAAUGAUAAAAUGUGGUCACCAUUUAUUGACUUUUUGGGUAAGACUUGCUUUACUAAUAUAACCGCGUUAAAACCGCAUUCAUUUACUUUUCUUGUGUAGUUUCCCACUAUUCAUUAAAUGUUUUAUAGAAGUAAAAAAGUAAUCAAUAGAACUAUACACAUUUGUACAACAAUUAAUCAUUAUACAGGAUUUGAACAUUUUCUAUUCAAGCUCAUGCUUCAUAAUAUUUCCAAGGAUUGCAGAGUACAAAAUGAUUUAUGAACAGUUGUUUUUGUUCAGGAGCGGAUUGUACACCCAGAGGCUUCAACAGAGCGGGUCUGGAGCUGGGAGCUGCAGGUGGAUGUUGGCCAGGAGCCGUUCAGUCCUACAGGAACAGACGGUAGAGGUGAUGGAGGCGGUCGUCUGGAGGUGCUCGUCUGGAGGUCCGUGGCGGUCGUCUGGAGGUGCUCGCCGUGAGGUCCAUGGCGGUCGUCUGGAGGCGCUCGCUGCAGAUGGAGGGAAGGCCGGGAGCCGUGUAGCCCAACGGAUGCAGAACGAAGGACUGAGGCGGAGGUCCUGGAGGCAGAGGCCAGCCUGGAGGCAGAGGCCAGCCUGGAGGCGGCGGUGGCCUGGAGGUCCUGGAGGCGUCCAACCUGGAAGGGGCGGCAUGGAGGGCCAGGUGGCGGCUCCUCAUCCAAAGGGCCUGGAGGCGGCCAACCUGGAAGGCCUGGAGACGGCCGAGGUCCUGGAGGCAACGGCGGGCCUGGAGGUGGAGGCCAACCUGGAGGUCCUGGAGUCGGAGGGCCUGGAGGCGGCGGUUGGGUCCAACCUGGAGGGCCUGGAGGCGGUGGUUGGGACCAACCUGGAGGGCCUGGAGGCGGUGGUUGGGACCAACCUGGAGGUCCCGGCGGUGGCGUCCACCUGGCGGCGGUCAGCCUGGAGGGCCCGGCGGCGGUCGUCCUGGAGGGCCCGGCGGCGGCGGCGGCGUCCUGGAGGGCCCGGAGGCGGCGGCGGCGGCAGCGUCCUGGAGGGCCCGGCGGCGGCGGCUCCUCAUCCAGUAAAGCUAAACUCUUCUCCAGUGCAUCAUGAACGGGGAGGAAUGUCCGGGGUGCAAAUAGAACGUGUGUCACAUUUCAGAAGAAAUGAGGCGACGUUGCGGAGGUCCAGGCGGUCGGCCCGGUGGAGGUCCUGGAGGAGACGGUCCCGGCGGUGGAGGUCCAGGCGGUCGGCCCGGUGGAGGUCCAGGCGGUUGGCCCGGUGGAGGUCCUGGAGGAGACGGUCCGGGCGGUGGAGGACGGCUGGGGGGUCCGGCGGUGGAGGUCCGAAGGCGGGUCGUGAUUAGACCAACCAGCUCCUCAUCCAUGGAAGCAGGAUUGAAGGAGUCACUGGGGAUGAAGAUCACUGCUCAGGGGCUGACGACCACUCAUCUUUCCGGAGAAGCGUCCUCAUGGUGCAGGCGGUCAAACCUCCACCUCUUUGAAGAGACCAAGCAGCUUGAUGACUGACUGGUUCUUUAUACUCAAGACCUCGUCCCGGAGCAGAGGACAGACCUAAGGCCUGCAGCGCAGCCGACUAGAGACUCCAUGUGGAACCGGUUCAAUUAAGUUGACCUCUCCUUCAGGUGACUUAAAGGGAGACCAGAUGUGCGGCAGCUGGGUGUCAUGGUGCAGAGACCCAACGCUGUACUGAACUACACCAGUGUGUCCUACUCCCCUAAACCCUGAGGAUCCCUGGAUGGCUACACCAGUGUGUCCUACUCCCAUAAACCCUGAGGAUCCCUGGAUGGCUACACCAGCACAUUAAUCCACACCCAACAUCAACACACAGUGCACACUCUAUAGAGCUUGUAAGUCCGCCCCUUGCGGCGGGACCUCGUGAGAUCGUAAGAUAUGACUGGGUUUCAAUGGAGAGAAAGUAAUUAUUUUCUCCAUUUUAUGUUGCACCACAUUUUGGGGGAAGAAUGUUUGAAUCAAUCUUUGUCAUUUAUUUCUGAACUCCAUAUCUGUAAUCCCAGCUGUUGUAUUUUAACACGGUAGCUGGGAACCCUCUUUAUAGGGAGCGGCUAGAGGGACGAGGCUGGAAGCAAACCUGAGCCUGGAUCUUAACCUUCUUUCUAAACCAAAUGCCGCAAUUUAACCGCA